rnacentral:rRNA from 1 species
UACGUAGGGUGCAAGCGUUGUCCGGAAUUAUUGGGCGUAAAGAGCUCGUAGGCAGUCUGUCGCGUCGGAUGUGAAAACCCAGGGCUCAACCCUGGGCCUGCAUUCGAUACGGGCAGACUAGAGUUCGGUAGGGGAGACUGGAAUUCCUGGUGUAGCGGUGAAAUGCGCAGAUAUCAGGAGGAACACCGGUGGCGAAGGCGGGUCUCUGGGCCGAAACUGACGCUGAGGAGCGAAAGCGUGGGGAGCAAACAGG